GUCAAAUGAAGAAAGGCUUACGGUGGAUACCUAGGCACCCAAAGACGAGGAAGGGCGUGGAAACCGACGAAACGCUUCGAGGAGUUGGAAACAAGCUAUGAUUCGGAGAUUCCCGAAUAGGGCAACCUUUUGCACUUCUUAUUGAAUUCAUAGAUAAGAAAGAGACAACCUGGUGAACUGAAACAUCUUAGUAGCCAGAGGAAAAGAAAGCAAACGCGAUUCCCUUAGUAGCGGCGAGCGAAAAGGGAACAGCCUAAACCGGUUUGAACCGGGGUUGUGGGAGAACGAUCUAAUUCCAUUGGUAUCGAAAUUUGUAAUUUUUUAUAAAAUUAAAAGAACGAUGGAUUCAAUUUGGGCUAGACGAAGCAGCUGAAUCCUGUACCAUAGAUGGUGAAAGUCCAGUAGUCAAAAGCCUUUGUACAAAAGUUCAUCCCGAGUAGCAUGGGACACGUGAAAUCCCGUGUGAAUCUGCGAGGACCACCUCGUAAGGCUAAAUACUCUUGGGUGACCGAUAGCGAAAAAGUACCGUGAGGGAAAGGUGAAAAAGAACCCCAUGGAGGGGAGUGAAAUAGAACAUGAAACCGUAAGCUCUCAAACAGUGGGAGGGUGAAUAAAAGCCUGACCGCGUGCCUGUUGAAGAAUGAGCCGGCGACUUCUAAGGAGUGGCGUGGUUAAAGAGAAUCCUCUGGAGCCAAAGCGAAAGCAAGUCUUAAUAGGGCGAGUUGUCACUUUUUAGAGACCCGAACCCGGGUGAUCUAACCAUGACCAGGAUGAAGCUUGGGUAAAACCAAGUGGAAGUCCGAACCGACCGAUGUUGAAAAAUCGGCGGAUGAGUUGUGGUUAGGGGUGAAAUGCCAAUCGAACUCGGAGCUAGCUGGUUCUCCCCGAAAUGCGUUGAGGCGCAGCGGUUGAUGAUAGGGCUGUCUAGGGGUAAAGCACUGUUUCGGUGCGGGCUGCGAGAGCGGUACCAAAUCGUGGCAAACUUAGAAUACUAGGCAUUGCUUUCCAUCAACCAGUGAGACGGUGGGGGAUAAGCUUCAUCGUCGAGAGGGAAACAGCCCAGAUCAUCGGCUAAGGCCCCUAAAUGGCCGCUAAGUGGUAAAGGAGGUGAGAAUGCUGAAACAACCAGGAGGUUUGCUUAGAAGCAGCCACCCUUUAAAGAGUGCGUAAUAGCUCACUGGUGGAGCGUUCUUGCGCCGAAAAUGAACGGGACUAAGCGGCCUGCCGAAGCUGUGGGAUUUGUACUUUUGAAAAUCUGUUGAAGCGUCGUGAUUGAAGAAAUAAUUAUUUCUUUCAUUAAGGCAUGCUUUCCACAUGGAAAACGAUGUUUUUCUUGCAAAAAUACAAAUCGGUAGGGGAGCGUUCCGUUUGAGGGUGAAGCGUCAAUGAGAAUUGGUGUGGACGAAGCGGAAGUGAGAAUGUCGGCUUGAGUAACGCAAACAUUGGUGAGAAUCCAAUGCCCCGAAAACCUAAGGGUUCCUCCACGAGGUUCGUCCAUGGAGGGUGAGUCAGGACCUAAGGCCAGGCCGAAAGGCGUAGUCGAUGGCAAACAGGUUAAUAUUCCUGUACUGGUUUUUGUUUGGUACCGAGGGACGAAGGAGGCAAAAGUUGUCCAAAAAUGGGUUUUGGCGGAAGCUGUUGAGGUGUUGAGAGGGAGAAAAAAAACUCGCCUUGAGCUGAAAAGCGAGACGGCCUCACUCUAAGUGAGGUUCAACUGAUUGUCAAACUUCCAAGAAAAGCUUGAACUACUGAAAAACAAAAAUCACCUGUACCCAAAACCGACACAGGUAGGUAGGUAGAAUAUACUAAGGGGCGCGAGAUAACUCUCUCUAAGGAACUCGGCAAAAUGGCCCCGUAACUUCGGGAGAAGGGGUACCUGAACGGUAGUUCAGGUCGCAGUGACCAGGCCCAGGCGACUGUUUACCAAAAACACAGGUCUCCGCUAAGUCGUAAGACAAUAUAUGGGGGCUGACGCCUGCCCAGUGCCGGAAGGUGAAGGAAGUUGGUGAAAGCUGACGACCGAAGCCCCGGUGAACGGCGGCCGUAACUAUAACGGUCCUAAGGUAGCGAAAUUCCUUGUCGGGUAAGUUCCGACCCGCACGAAAGGCGUAACGAUCUGGGCACUGUCUCGGAGAGAGGCUCGGUGAAAUAGACAUGUCUGUGAAGAUGCGGACUUCCUGCACCUGGACAGAAAGACCCUAUGAAGCUUUACUGUAGCCUGGAAUUGAGUUUGGGCUCUUCUUGCGCAGCCUAGGUGGGAGGCGUUGACGGUUCCCUUGCGGGGGGGCUUGAGCCAUCAGUGAGAGACCACUCUGGAGGAGCUAGAAUUCUAAUGGCGAUCCUUGAAUCAGGACGCUUGACAGUUUCAGGUGGGCAGUUUGACUGGGGCGGUCGCCUCAUAAAAGGUAACUGAGGCGUGCAAAGGUUCCCUCAGGCUGGACGGAAAUCAGCCGUAGAGUGUAAAGGCAGAAGGGAGCUUGACUGCAAGACCUACAAGUCGAGCAGGGGCGAAAGCCGGCCUUAGUGAUCCGACGGUACUGUGUGGAAGGGCCGUCGCUCAACGGAUAAAAGUUACUCUAGGGAUAACAGGCUGAUCUUCCCCAAGAGUUCACAUCGACGGGAAGGUUUGGCACCUCGAUGUCGGCUCAUCGCAACCUGGGGCGGUAGUACGUCCCAAGGGUUGGGCUGUUCGCCCAUGAAAGCGGUACGUGAGCUGGGUUCAGAACGUCGUGAGACAGUUCGGUCCAUAUCCGGUGUAGGCGCUAGAGCAUUGAGAGGAGUCUUCCAUAGUACGAGAGGACCUGGAAGAACGCACCGAGAGUCUACCAGUUCUUCCACCAGGGGGAUACGCUGGGUAGCCAAGUGCGGAGUGGAUAACCGCUGAAAGCAUCUAAGUGGGAAGCCCACCUCAAGAUGAGUGCUCUCGAAGGUCGAAGGCCACGGCAAGACAAGCCGUUUGAUAGGUGCCAAGUGUAAGGCCAGCAAUGGUUUUCAGCUGAGGCAUACUAAUAGGCCAAGAGAUUUUGAC
rnacentral:rRNA from 1 species